rnacentral:tRNA from 1 species
GCGGGGCGAGCCAGCUGGAGACGGCGCCUGGCCUACACCCAGGUCUCGCAUGGGUUCGAUUCCCUGGCCCCGUACCA